rnacentral:SRP_RNA from 1 species
AGCCGGGGAGAUAGCGGUGCCCUGUACCUGCAAUCCGCUCCAGCAGGGGUGAUGUCCCGCCUCGGAUAUGCGUCUGCAGGGCUGCCCCCGGUAAGCGGCGUUGACGUCCGGGUCUCGCGCAACAGAACCUUGUGAACCGUGUCAGGGCAGGAAUGCAGCAGCACUAAGCAAGUUUUUCUGUGUGCCGCGAGGGCGCCUGGGCCGAGUUAGCUGCCGGGGUAACGCCUGUGGGCCAUAUACAAAGCGGGAUGCG